UACGUAGGGUGCAAGCGUUCGUCCGGAAUUAUUGGGCGUAAAGAGCUCGUAGGCGGUCUGUCGCGUCGGCUGUGAAAACUCGGGGCUCAACCCCGAGCCUGCAGUCGAUACGGGCAGACUAGAGUGCUGUAGGGGAGACUGGAAUUCCUGGUGUAGCGGUGAAAUGCGCAGAUAUCAGGAGGAACACCGAUGGCGAAGGCAGGUCGUCUGGGCUGUAACUGACGCUGAGGAGACGAAGCAUGGGGAGCGA
rnacentral:rRNA from 1 species